GAUGAACGCUGGCGGCGUGCCUAAUACAUGCAAGUCGAGCGAACGGACGAGAAGCUUGCUUUUCUGAUGUUAGCGGCGGACGGGUGGGUAACACGUGGAUAACCUACCUAUAAGACUGGGAUAACUUCGGGAAACCGGAGCUAAUACCGGAUAAUAUUUUGAACCGCAUGGUUCAAAAGUGAAAGACGGUCUUGCUGUCACUUAUAGAUGGAUCCGCGCUGCAUUAGCUAGUUGGUAAGGUAACGGCUUACCAAGGCAACGAUGCAUAGCCGACCUGAGAGGGUGAUCGGCCACCCUGGAACUGAGACACGGUCCAGACGCCUACGGGAGGCAGCAGUAGGGAAUCUUCCGCAAUGGGCGAAAGCCUGACGGAGCAACGCCGCGUGAGUGAUGAAGGUCUUCGGAUCGUAAAACUCUGUUAUUAGGGAAGAACAUAUGUGUAAGUAACUGUGCACAUCUUGACGGUACCUAAUCAGAAAGCCACGGCUAACUACGUG
rnacentral:rRNA from 1 species